rnacentral:misc_RNA from 1 species
UUUCCGUAGGUGAACCUGCGGAAGGAUCAUUAAUAAAAAACGGAGGAUCGCGGUCUGUCGCUGACCCGACAGCCCUUGGACGCCCGAGUGGCCUCACACACCUCCCUCUCACCCCUGUGUGCACCACCACCUGUGUCUCACUUCUUCUUGUGCGGAGUGGUACGUACGAAUUAACACAAACUAUGACUUCAGUGAACGGUGUACUUGUUGUUUUUGCGAUCGCACAAUCCAGACAACUUUCAACAACCGAGCUUUUGGCUCUCGCACCGUUGGAGAACC